GUUCUUGUAGUUGAAUAACAACGGUGGUUUUUCAAGCCAUUGGUCCUGGAUAAAUACCUGGUAGGAACU
rnacentral:tRNA from 1 species